CAGCCGCCGCGGUAACACGAAGGGGGCUAGCGUUGUUCGGAUUUACUGGGCGUAAAGCGCACGUAGGCGGACUUUUAAGUCAGGGGUGAAAUCCCGGGGCUCAACCCCGGAACUGCCUUUGAUACUGGAAGUCUUGAGUAUGGUAGAGGUGAGUGGAAUUCCGAGUGUAGAGGUGAAAUUCGUAGAUAUUCGGAGGAACACCAGUGGCGAAGGCGGCUCACUGGACCAUUACUGACGCUGAGGUGCGAAAGCGUGGGGAGCAAACAGGAUUAGAUACCCCAGUAGUCCCUGUCUCUUAUAC
rnacentral:rRNA from 1 species